ACCCUUUUUGUGGUUCGUAAGGUUGAUUAGUGGGUUCUCAUGACACUGUGUGAGAUGUGCCUCCCUCAAACCUCAUUACAAUGCCGGUGCAUUAAUCAUCUGAGG
ensembl:snoRNA